UACGGAAGGCAGCAGUGGGGAAUAUUGGACAAUGGGCGGAAGCCUGAUCCAGCCAUGCCGCGUGUGUGAAGAAGGCCUUUUGGUUGUAAAGCACUUUAAGCGAGGAGGAGGCUACCUAGAUUAAUACUCUGGGAUAGUGGACGUUACUCGCAGAAUAAGCACCGGCUAACUCUGUGCCAGCAGCCGCGGUAAUACAGAGGGUGCGAGCGUUAAUCGGAUUUACUGGGCGUAAAGCGUGCGUAGGCGGCUUUUUUAAGUCGGAUGUGAAAUCCCCGAGCUUAACUUGGGAAUUGCAUUCGAUACUGGGAAGCUAGAGUAUGGGAGAGGAUGGUAGAAUUCCAGGUGUAGCGGUGAAAUGCGUAGAGAUCUGGAGGAAUACCGGAUGGCGAAGGCAGCCAUCUGGCCUAAUACUGACGCUGAGGUCGAAAGCAUGGGGAGCAAACAAGGAAUUAGAAUAACC
rnacentral:rRNA from 1 species